GGUCUUGUAGCCGAAUGGUAAUGGCUUAAGCUUUAAGUCUGAUGACGUAAGCUGAUACCUCUGGGUUUGAAUCCCAGCAAGACCU